rnacentral:rRNA from 1 species
AUUGAACGCUGGCGGCAUGCCUUACACAUGCAAGUCGAACGGCAGCACGGGUGCUUGCCCCUGGUGGCGAGUGGCGAACGGGUGAGUAAUACAUCGGAACAUGUCCUGUAGUGGGGGAUAGCCCGGCGAAAGCCGGAUUAAUACCGCAUACGAUCUACGGAUGAAAGCGGGGGACCUUCGGGCCUCGCGCUAUAGGGUUGGCCGAUGGCUGAUUAGCUAGUUGGUGGGGUAAAGGCCUACCAAGGCGACGAUCAGUAGCUGGUCUGAGAGGACGACCAGCCACACUGGGACUGAGACACGGCCCAGACUCCUACGGGAGGCAGCAGUGGGGAAUUUUGGACAAUGGGCGAAAGCCUGAUCCAGCAAUGCCGCGUGUGCGAAGAAGGCCUUCGGGUUGUAAAGCACUUUUGUCCGGAAAGAAAUCCUUGGCCCUAAUACGGUCGGGGGAUGACGGUACCGGAAGAAUAAGCACCGGCUAACUACGUG